rnacentral:misc_RNA from 1 species
UUAUGUAUGUUACAUCAGAACUUUUGACCGGGUAGACCGAUUUCGACAAAUUUUGUUUUAAUCGAAAGGUGGUAUGUGUCAAUUGGUCCCAUUUAAAUUUAUUUGAGAUCUAACAACUACUUUUCGAGUUAUAUCUAAUAAUGCGUUUUUACUUGACGCUUUUUUCGUCGACCUACGUUGUAUUAUACCGCAUAACUUUCUACUUGAUGUACCGAUUUUGA